GGUGAGGUGGCCGAGUUGGUUAUGGCGCCAGGUUAAGGUCCUUCUCCUUAGCAUCUGCUGAGCAAUCAGCUUCCUGGUCACGAAAGUGGCGCGGGUUCGAGUCCCGUCCUCAUCA
rnacentral:tRNA from 1 species